GUCUCGGUGGCGCAAUGGUAGCGCGUUGGACUUCUACUAUUAAAACCAGUACAUCCAAAGGCUGCGGGUUCGAGCCCCGCCCGAGAUG
rnacentral:tRNA from 2 species